rnacentral:misc_RNA from 1 species
UACGGAGGGGGCAAGCGUUGUUCGGAUUUACUGGGCGUAAAGGGCGCGUAGGCGGACGAUCAAGUCAGGGGUGAAAGGCCUGGGCUCAACCUGGGAACUGCCCUUGAAACUGGUUGACUGGAGUCCGGGAGAGGAUGGCGGAAUUCCCAGUGUAGAGGUGAAAUUCGUAGAUAUUGGGAAGAACACCGGUGGCGAAGGCGGCCAUCUGGCCCGGAACUGACGCUGAGGCGCGAAAGCGUGGGGAGCAAACAGG